UACAGAGGGUGCAAGCGUUGUUCGGAAUUAUUGGGCGUAAAGAGCGUGUAGGCGGUCCGGUAAGUCCGCUGUGAAAGCCGGGGGCUCAACCCUCGAAUGCCGGUGGAUACUGUCGGGCUAGAGUGCGGAAGAGGCGAGUGGAAUUCCUGGUGUAGCGGUGAAAUGCGCAGAUAUCGGGAGGAACACCAAUGGCGAAGGCAGGUCGCUGGGACGGUACUGACGCUGAGACGCGAAAGCGUGGGGAGCAAACGGG
rnacentral:rRNA from 1 species